AUUUGACGGUACCUGAAGAAGAAGCACCGGCUAACUCCGUGCCAGCAGCCGCGGUAAUACGGAGGGUGCAAGCGUUGUUCGGAAUUACUGGGCGUAAAGAGCACGUAGGUGGGUCUAUAAGCCAAUUGUGAAAGCCCUGAGCUUAACUUGGGAAUUGCAGUUGGGACUGUAGGUCUUGAAUGUCCAAGAGGGUGGGGGAAUUCCUGGUGGAGAGGUGAAAUUCGUAGAUAUCAGGAGGAACACCGGAUGCGAAAGCGCCUGCCUGGUGGUGCAUUGACACUGAGGUGCGAAAGCGUGGGGAUCAAACAGGAUUAGAUACCCUGGUAGUCCACGCUGUAAACUAUG
rnacentral:rRNA from 1 species